GUGCUACAAUGGUCUGUACAAUGGGUAGCCAAGCCGCGAGGCGGAGCCAAUCCUGAAAGCAGGCCUCAGUUCAGAUUGCAGUCUGCAACUCGACUGCAUGAAGCCGGAGUUGCUAGUAACCGCAGGUCAGCAAUACUGCGGUGAAUACGUUCCCGGGUCUU
rnacentral:rRNA from 1 species